UACGGGGGGGGGCAAGCGUUUGUUCGGAAUUACUGGGCGUAAAGGGCUCGUAGACGGCCAACUAAGUCAGACGUGAAAUCCCUCGGCUUAACCGGGGAACUGCGUCUGAUACUGGAUGGCUUGAGUUUGGGAGAGGGAUGCGGAAUUUCCGGUGUAGCGGUGAAAUGCGUAGAUAUCGGAAGGAACAUCAGUGGCGAAAGCGGCUCACUGGGCUGACCUUGACGCUGAGGCGCGAAGGCGUGGGGAGCGAACGGG
rnacentral:rRNA from 1 species